GUAAAUAUAGCUCAGUAGGUAGAGUAUUGGUUUGUGGCACCAUUUGUCAAGGGUUCAAAUCCCUUUAUUUACCCUA
rnacentral:tRNA from 2 species